CUGUCUCGUCCAUGCGGCUCUCUCCAGUGCAGGCUCCCCACGUGCCCAUCCCCAGGUCCAGGAAGAGCUGCGAGCCCUGCAGGACAGGCGGGAGCAGGUGUUCCAGGCCUGGGAGCAGAAGCAGGAGAGGCUGCUGGCCGUGCACCGGGAGCAGCUCUUCCUCAGAAAGUGUGGCCGCCUGGACAAGAUGCUCACAGCCUGGGAGGUCUUCCUGAAAACCAGCACCCUGGGGAGCUCUGUGGAAGAGGUGGAGCUGUUGAUCCGCAAGCAUGAGACCUUCCAGAAAGUGCUGACUUCCCAGGAUGAGAAGGUGGCAGCCCUGUGUGAGCAGGCGAAGAUGUUCACGGGUCCCAGGGCACAGGGCCUGCUCCACGUGGUGCUGGAGCGCCGGGCGCGGGUAAAGGAGCUGGCGGAGGACUGGGGAUGCGCCCUGCACACCUCCCUGCUGAUAACUGCCUUCACCAGGGCCGCCAUCCAGGUCGAGGACUGGAUCCAGGAGCGACUCCAGCAGCUGAAAGAGCCAGUUCCUCCUGGGGACCUGAAAGAUAAGUUGAGGCACCUGCAGAAACACCAGGCCUUUGAGGCAGAGGUCCAGGCCCAUGAGGAGGUCAUAAUCUCUGUUGCCAAGGUACCAGCCAGGCCCCCACUCCCACCCCCCAUCCCCCACCUCCAGUGGCCAAGGGGAAAGGUCUGAAGCAGGAGGAGCCCGUGAUGGAGAAAAAGCAGGAGAAAGGGCAGCAGGCGAAGUCUCCUGAUGUCCCCUCUCUCCCCAGGAGGGGGAGGCUCUCCUGGCACAGAGCCACCCUCGGGUGGGAGAGGUCUCCCAGAGGCUGCAGGCACUGCAGGAGCACUGGGAGAAGCUGAGGCAGGCAGUGGCCCUCCGCAGCCAGGACCUGGUGGACAGGCGGAACUUCUUGGAGUUCCUGCAAAGAGUAGACAUUGCAGAGGCCUGGAUCCAGGAGAUGGUGAGACCCAGCCGGGCAGGGACAGAGCGGUGAUUGGGGCUUCGGGGCUGACAGAUGGGGGAGGGAGCCCCAGCAGGGAGUUCCCAAAGUUUCCCCCUGCCCCAAUACCACCCUAGCCACUGGUGCACCCAGCGCUGGGUGCUCAAGAGUGCAGCCUUCCUGACCCUGGGCCUCCACAGGAGGUGAUGGUGAACAUCAGUGACCUGGGCCACGACCUUGAGCACUGCCUGCAGCUCCGUAGGCAGCUCCGCCAGCUCCCAGGAGUCUGGGCCGGGGACACGGUGGAUGACGCCCACAUCAGGAGCAUCAGUGACUUGCCAGUGAAGCUCAAGAAUCGGGACUCUGAGCAGGUCGAGACCAUCUGCCAGCGGCAACAUCAGCUCAACAACAGGUGGAACCGUUUCCAUGGCAGCUUGCUCCGGUAUCAGCAGCAGCUUGAAGGGGCUCUGGAGAGACACACGUUGUCCCAAAAGCUGGAUGACAUCAUUGAGCGGAUUGGGGAAAAAGUGAGCAGCCAGGAGCCAGUGCGUCCACCCCUCGCCUGCCUCUCCUCUUUAGUUGGGUAUCAGAGCCAGCUCUCACUAGGGGCCCAUCAGGGGGUCUUCCAGGGCCUCUUGGGGUCACUUCUAGACCUAGAAGCCCCCAUUGCACGCUCAGAGGCUAGCCUACCUGGCUCCCUUCUCCCCCAGAAGCACCACGAAUCCAGAGGCCCAAGCACCCCUCUCCCCACUGUUUCCUCUAUUGUCCCUGAGCAAGGCCAGAACCCUCAGGAGGUUUGCCCAGAGUUGUGUCAGCAGUCACAAGAAACCUGGCCUUGACACUGGCAGAGGCAGGAGUAGAGAAGUUGUACACAUCCUGAGAAGUGCCCCCAUGAAGCAGGCUAUGCUCCGUUGCGAGCAUUCAAAGGCCUCUGGUUCCUGCCUCUGCCAGGCAGGUCUGUGCUCAGUUCCCCGCAAGAGAAUGAGCGUCAGGUGAGACAGUGACUGCGGCUGCACCACACCCACCGGUGGAGGUUACUACCACUGGGGAAACGCCACCCCAGAGGUCUCCUGGCAAUCUUCCUCCUUCAUAGAAGGAAGGGACCGCUGGUCAGGGCCAGCGUCCUGCUCCAGCCUCAGAGGGCACUGAAAAUGAAUCAGGCUGGGUGCUUGCUUCCUGCACAGAAACCCCAUGGCCGGUGACCCCUCUGCAAUGAGGGAGGAGCUGGAGCUAAGGCUGGUAGCAGCACCCUUUCCCUUCCCAGGCUGCCCUGCUCCAGGCCCUGAACUGCAGGCAAGAUCCGGAGAGCCUGCAGAGGCUGAUGUGGAAACACAAGGCAUUGGAGCAGGAAAUAGGCCUCAUCCAGGCCCAGGUGGAGCUUCUAGAGUGUGAGGUGAGCCGCUUCUGCCAGAGGAGCCCUGAGGCAGCCUCCAGCCUCACCUGCAAGCAGCAGGAGAUGAUGGAUAGCUGGUGGCAGCUCCGGAGUGGGGCUCAGAAGUGGUACACUCCCCCGGGGCCUCACCCUCCCUGCCCUCUUCCCUGCAGCAUCUCAAUCCCCACUUUACCAGAGAGUCUCUCUCCGUCUUUCCAGUAACCCCCUGUAUUGCCACUGUAUAAAUUCCCAGCCCAUGGGCCCUUCUUUGGCUAAAGGGAUUCUGGGAGAGAAGGCACUGGUGGGCACAGGGGGAAAGGGGCUCAGAGGUCCUGGGACCAGCUGAUGAACCCCGUGGGCAGGAAGGAGUCGCUCGAUGCCUUGCACCAAGCUCAGAAGCUGCAGGCUGUGCUGCAGGAAUUGCUGGCCUGGGCCCGGAGCCUGCGAGCUGAGAUGAAUGUGAGGAGCACCCCUGGCAGCCUGGAAGAGGUCCGGCUCAGGCUGGAGGAACACCAGGAGAGCAAGGCCGAGCUGGACUCCCACAAAGACAGCAUCAGCCUGGCCCGAAGCACUGGGCAGCGACUGCUUGCCACUGGGCACCCAUCCACCCCCGACAUCCGCCAGGCCCUAGCUGGUUUAGACCAGGAGUUGAACAGCCUGGAACGGGCCUGGCAUGAACACCAGCUCCAGCUGCAUCAGGCCUUGGAGCUACAGCUGGUUCUGAGCUCUGUGGAACACAUGGAAAGUUGGCUCUGCAGCCAGGAAGCCUGCGCAGCCAGUGAGGGUCUUGGGGAUUCCUUGGCCGAUGUGGAGACCCUGCUGUGGAAGCACAAGGUGCAUGAGCAGGACCUGGAGGCACAGACGGAGAAGAUCACCUCCCUGGAGGCCACCGCCCGCAGGCUGCACCAGGGUGGACACCCCAAGGCCCAAGGUGCCCUGGACCGGUGCCAGGCCAUGCUCCUGAGGAAAGCGGCGCUCCUGGAGCGAGCCAGGACCCGUCGCCACCAGCUGGAGGAGCUCAGGCAACUGCGGGCCUUCCUACAGGAUUCCUAUGAGGUGGCCUCAUGGCUGAGGGAGAAGAGCCUGAUGGUCCUGGAAGAGGGAUGGCAGGAUCCAGUGGAGCUGCAGGCACAGUUGAGGAAGCAGCAUAACCUCCAGGCUGAGCUGGACACGAGUGUGCACCACCAACAAAGGCUACAGACGGAGGGGCAGAGGCUGCUCCGGGAGGGCCACCCAGCCUCAGAAACAAUCCAGGAGCGGCUGCAGGAGCUGAGUAAGCUCUGGGAGGAGCUGCAGGCCAACUGCCAGAGGAAGGCAGCCAAUCUACAGGAGGCCAGCGAGGCCCUACGUCUUCGGCGGAGCAUGGAGGAACUGGACAGCUGGCUGGGGCCCGUGGAGGUCAGGCUGAGAGCCCCGAUCGGGAGCGCAGACCAGCUUGGGCUGGACGAGCUCCUGGGAUCUCAGGGAGAGCUGGAGGCAGCGGUGGACAGGCAGGCCAGGCGGGCACAGACCCUGCUGGGCCAGGCCCAGGCCUCUGUGCGGGAAGGCCCCUGCCUCGCCCAAGCCAUGGAAGAGCAGGCCCAGCGGCUGCUUCAAAGGUAAAUCCAUUCCUCCUCCCUGCCCCCCAGCUCAGCUCCUCAGGGCCUCCCCUGCCCACUGUGAGGGGCACAGAGUGGAUGAGCUGAUGUGCAGGACAUAGUCCGGCCCUGAUCCUGACAACCAGGUCCCCCUACCUGCCGCCCUGGGCCCGCCCUCCACUGCUGCAGGUUCGACAGCCUGUGGGAGCCCCUGCGGGAGCGCAGAAUGGCCCUGGAGGCCCGGAGUCUCCUCCUGCAGUUCCUCAGGGAUGCGGACGAGGAGAUGGCCUGGGUGCAGGAGAAGCUGCCCCUGGUGGCCUCCCGGGACUGCAGCCAGAGCCUAAGCGCCUUGCGGCACCUGCAGGAGAAACACCAGGUGUGGCCACAGGGAGGGGAAGGGCUGUUCUUGGGCGCUGGAAGCUCUCUGCCUCCUGGGGGACUUUGUGGGUCCCCUGAAUUCCUUGUCAGUCACAAGGACAGGGUUCUCUUUUGGGGGGGUUCUGUGGGACCCCACAAUACCUCAGAGGGAACUCUGGGUCCUCCAAGGAUCACCCAGGAGCAUCCCCCAUCAGAAUCCCCCAUCCUGUUUUCCUUCGGCUCCGCAGAACCUGGAGAGUGAGAUGAGCAUCCAUGAGGCUCUGACCCGGGCAGUGGUGGGCACGGGGCGCAAGCUGGUGCAGGCUGGACAUUUUGCUGCCGGGGAUGUGGCUGCCCGGGUGCAGCAGCUGGAGGAUGCUAUGGGCCGCCUGCAAGCAGAGGCUUCACAGAGGCGGCGGUGGCUGCAGCAGGCUCAGGAGGCCCAGCAGUUCCUGACAGAGCUCCUGGAGGCAGAAUCCUGGCUGGAAGAACGGGGCUGUGUUCUGAACACUGAGGAUGUGGGCCAGAGUGCCGAAGCCACAUGGGCCUUCCUGCGGCAGCUGGAGGCCACCAGGAGAGACCUGAAUGGAUUCAGCGUGCGCAUUGAGAGGCUACAGCAGACAGCAGUCCUCCUUGAGAGCAGGCGGAACCCAGAAAGCCCCAAGGUGCUGGCCCAGAUGCAUUCAGUGAGGAAGACCCACUCUGGGCUGCUCCAGAGAGCAGAGAGCAGGGGGCAAGGCCUGAGGGAGCAGAUGCAGCUGCACCAACUGGAGCGGGAAGUCCUGCUCCUGGACACCUGGCUGGCCAGCAGGGUGGCCACUGCUGAGUCACAGGACUAUGGGCAGGACCUGGAGGCUGUCAAGGUGCUGGAAGAGAAGUUCGAUGCUUUCAGAAAGGAAGUCCACAGCCUGGGGCAGGCCAAGGUGCAGGCCCUGCGGGAGCGGGCAGCCUCCCUGGAACGGGCAGCCCCCAGGUUCUCUCCCCAGAUCCAACCACAGAGGAGUCGCAUUGAGGCCGCUUGGGAGAGGCUGGAUGGAGCAGUGAAAGUCCGCACACAGAACCUGACUGCAGCUCGUGAGGUGCGCGGCUUUGAGCAGGUGGCAGCCGAGCUCCAGGGCUGGAUGCAGGAGAAAGCCGCCCUGCUGGCAAGAGAUGCCUAUGGCUGCAGCCUGUCAUCAGUACAGACCCUGCAGCAACGGCACAGAUGCCUGGAGAGGGAACUGGCAGCCAUGGAGAAAGAGAUGGCACAUGUGCAGACGGAGGCCUGCCGGCUGGGCCAGUUAUACCCUGUGUCUCAGGAGGGCCUGGCCAAGCAGCUGGCUGAGGUGCAGGAGGCCUGGGCCACCCUGAAUGUGAAGGUGCAGGAGCGGGCUCAGCAGCUGGAACAGGCUGCCCAGGGCCAUGCCUUCCUUGGCCGUUGUCAGAACCUACUAGCAUGGGCUCAGGAGAAGCAGGUGCUGGUCUGCUCAGAGGAGCUGGCUGGGGAUGUGCCUGGGGCUGAGCGGCUCCUGGAGCAGCACGAGGCACUGGGGCAAGAAAUCAAGGAUCACUGCCUUCAAGCCCAGAAUGCACAGCAGGAAGGGCAGCAGCUUGUGAACAACAGCCACUUCAUGUCCCUGGAAGUAUGAGCACAGAGAUGGGUCUGGGGGUGAGCUCUGGUACUCAGUGCAGUUACCCAAGGCCUCGGGACUCCCAGCAGGAAGGGAAGGCCAGGCAGGGACGGGGAGGGUCCAGGCCUCAUGGUCUCCCCUUGACCCCUCUGCCAGGGCCUCCAGCCCUGCCUACCUGGUGGCUCUGCCUGAGCAUCUCACCCACAGCGUCCCCUCCCACCAGGUGACAGAGUGUCUGCAGGAGCUGGAAGUGUGGCUGCAGGCACUCAAAGAGGCCUGGGCCCUGCGCCGGGAACACUGUGAGGAGAGCUGGUGUCUGCAGAAGCUGCGUCAGGGGCUGGACCAAGCUGAGGCCUGGCUGGCCUCCCGGGAGGGCCUCCUGCUGGACCCCAACUGUGGGCACUCAGUAUCAGAUGUGGAGCUGCUGCUCCGCAGACACCAGGACUUAGAAAAGCUGCUGGCUGUCCAGGAAGAGAAGUUCACCCAACUGCAGAGGAAGGCAGGGGUGAGCGGAGGCUGGGGUGAGGGCGCACUGUGGGAUGGCGGGAGUGGUCCUGGUCACAGCCUGAGUCGGGGUCUCCCCAGGCACUGAGCCCACAUCUGACACUUUGGGAAGGCAAUCUUUGGGAAAAGCCCUUGCUGGCUGCAGCGUCCUAUCACCCCCAUUUCCUGGUGGGCUAGGGCGCACUGGGCCUGGGGUGAGAGGGGCAUCCCCUGAACUGGAGCAGGAAGAGAUGAAGAACAGUGAGGAGACAGGUACUCUGUCUGGGUAGCAGGGAUGUGGGGAGAUGGCCUGGCCUGGCUUCUCUCCCCAAGAUGGGACAGAAGCAGCAGGUGAAGGGGCCGAAACCCAGGAGAGUUGGCAGCAGGCUGACCUCCCUCCAGCAGAGCCUCUUGGGAAGCUGGGGGCUUGAAGUACCCCUGGCUGAGAUGUGGGACCUGCAACAGGUGUCUCCAUGGGGCCACCAUGUGUGAUUUUUGCCACCACUGUCUCCGCAGGGGGCGGGGAGGCAGGUUAGUGCCAGAGACUCCUGCAGCCGCUCCCCUCCACAGACCCACUCGAAGUGCUCAGAGGGUCCCGGUGCCUGGAGCUGUAGUGGAUACCACAGCACCUCCCUGCAUUAUUGGGACAGUCUGGCUCCUUGGGGCCACUUCACGGCUUCUGCCCUCACCCGGCUAGAGCUGGGCCCCUCUUCUUCCUCCUCCUGUUUUCCCUGGAAGUUACCCUCUGGCUCCCUCUUCCCCGUGGGCACCUUGGUCCAGUCCAGUACUUUCCCUGGGAGCCUCUGGAGACACAGGCUGUGACAAGGCUGCUACAGCCCAUCCUUGUGUACAGCUGCUGCGGCCUCACCACCUUCUCUCCACAGCGCAGCUGGAGUCCCCAGGGGCACUGCUGGGGGUCCUUGGGGGGCAGCUGCCAGAGCCCGCUCCAGAAUGCCAGGACGGCAGCUGAGGUGUGGGCAGUGGGAGGGCAGGCAGAGGACAAAGGAGGCCCCAAGGCGAAAAGCAGAGAUGGGCGUGGUAAACCCUGCCUCUCAUGGCUCCUCAGGACACGGCUCCCACAGCCAUCCUUGGCCUCAUGGAAAUGCAGGAUAAAAGACCAAGGGGUCACCAUGAUGGAAAACACACUUUCUCCUUAAGGCGGUCUGGGGUAGAGCCCCUGUUUGCAGCACCACCUGAAGGACAGACUGAGAGCUGGCAUGGCGCCCUGAGCAGUGUGGCAGUUCUGGAAGCUGAGAAGUCCAUGAUCAAGGUGCCGGCAGGCUGGCCAUCUGCUUCCAGUCUGAGCCCAGAGCUCCGAGCCAGACCCCUGGGCUUCCUGGCUGAGUACUCAGUCGAGAGGGUGCCUGGCAUGGCUGCUCCGCUCAGGUAGGCACCUGGGUGUGGGGUGUCAUCUCCAUGACAGGCACAGAUGCUACCCUCCGAAUCCCAAGGCCCUAGGACUCAGACUGCUCGGGUGUGGAGCCACCCUUGCCCAAACUGACAACAGAGUCUGGACCCUGAGGCUCCCUUUCCCCAGAUUCCACGGCUGUCCCCUGCCCUUCCCAUUGAAGGGGAUGCAAACGUGCACCGGCCCCCAGCAGCCUGUGGAGCUCCUGCAGACGGCUGGCCCUGCCAAGGAAACUGCACAAGGCUCCCGGCGGCUGUCCUGCCCAGGCCAGAGCCACGGUCUGGGCCCUGAAGCAGACCCUGAGGUGGCGUCGAACCUCAGGGCUACAUGCGAGGACACCCGAGAGGGGACCAUGAGACUGAGCUCCCAGGCCCCUGAGGACCAACUUCUGGAAUAGACGGUUCCGUGUUAGGAGAGGGGCCCUGCCAACAUUACAGCCUGCUGAAGUCACACCCUUAACACCUGGUCCCAGGUCCUGCCACCCCUACCAUGGGACAGGAAGCAGCCCUUCGAGUCCUGGGUGAGGAGGAUGGGGGUGCUGGCUGGUUUGCCUGUGAGUCACCUGAGCAGGGCCAGGGCUGCAGCAGCAAGACCUCCAGGCCCAAGUGGCCUCUCUGCUUGCAGAGCUUGGGCUGGAGUGGAGCAGACAGGGCCAGGAGCUCACAGCCAGCUCUUCGGGGGCAGCCCAGGCUGACUCGCCAGCUUUGUUAAGGUGCCUGGGAGAUAUUUUGUUUUCUAAACCAGUCUUGCCCUGUGUAACUAAGACGGUGGAAUGACAGGUCCCCUCUUGGCAG
rnacentral:lncRNA from 1 species